GAAGAACACUGGCGGCGUGCCUAAUACAUGCAAGUCGAGCGAACGGACGAGAAGCUUGCUUCUCUGAUGUUAGCGGCGGACGGGUGAGUAACACGUGGAUAACCUACCUAUAAGACUGGGAUAACUUCGGGAAACCGUAGCUAAUACCGGAUAAUAUUUUGAACCGCAUGGUUCAAAAGUGAAAGACGGUCUUGCUGUCACUUAUAGAUGGAUCCGCGCUGCAUUAGCUAGUUGGUAAGGUAACGGCUUACCAAGGCAACGAUGCAUAGCCGACCUGAGAGGGUGAUCGGCCACACUGGAACUGAGACACGGUCCAGACUCCUACGGGAGGCAGCAGUAGGGAAUCUUCCGCAAUGGGCGAAAGCCUGACGGAGCAACGCCGCGUGAGUGAUGAAGGUCUUCGGAUCGUAAAACUCUGUUAUUAGGGAAGAACAUAUGUGUAAGUAACUGUGCACAUCUUGACGGUACCUAAUCAGAAAGCCACGGCUAACUACGUG
rnacentral:rRNA from 1 species